CUUCUUCUACCUAUAUAUAUAUAUCAUCAACCGUUCACGAACAUCACUUUCGUGAGCUACGAAGUUGGUGGCAUCUACAAAGAAGUGAACUGGGCAAUUUCGAAGAUCGCCUUCGAGCGCUACGAAGAUCGCCAGAUCAGAUGGCAUCAUCAUCCAUACCCAAAACUAACCCAAAACUAAGGGACUAAAACUUAUUGGUGAUAAACGGUUUAUCACCACUGAAAGCAAAGUUUGCGGAUCAUUCCAAAUCGGUCCUUUUGAUGAUGCAGAGGAAGCACAGCGGCUUCGAAAUUGUAUCGUCUGCAAACUGGAAAUUACACACGCUGGACUGAUAUACCAAAAUGAGGAUUUAGCGAAAACUGCGACAUAUGUGUUUUGCGAGGGAUUCAAGCCUUAUGAAUUGAUAGAAAUAAUAAACCAAAAGAAAUUUUACUCAGCAUACAAAUCUUAUAUAAUGAAGGGGGAAAACGUCACAACUACACCGCCAUAUCAUCCUUGCUGACGAAGAAGAGAAGGAGAAAGAGAAUGGUGUACUUGAAGUUAAAAAAAAAAGAGUUUCUUUGUUGAUAAGUAACCCAAUAUUUUUGAUUAGUUUAGAUUUAUUUAUGUUAAGUUUAUCUCUUAAUAUUUUGUUGGUUAGACAUAAGAGAUAAGUUUAAAUCUGGUUCAGUUAUUGUUAUUAGGAUUUUAAUUUAUGUCUAUAUAUAGACGGCUGUAAAUGUGUGAAAAACUAUCCACCAUCGAAAUUUAGUCCAAGAAUAUUUAAUAAAGAUUUAGUUUUAUA